GCUGGGCAUGGUGGCACAUGCCUGUUGUCAGCUACUGGGGAGGCUGAGGCAAGAAAUUUGUUAGAGCCCAGGAGUUCAAGACCAGCCUGGAUAAUGUAGUAAAAUCCAGUCUCAG
rnacentral:sRNA from 1 species